rnacentral:tRNA from 1 species
UCCUGGCUGGAUCAGUGGGUAGAGCAUGUGACUCUCGAUCUCAGGGUUGUGAGUUCGAGCCCCAUGUUAGGGG